rnacentral:rRNA from 1 species
UAGCCGGACUGAGAGGUUGAACGGCCACAUUGGGACUGAGACACGGCCCAGACUCCUACGGGAGGCAGCAGUGGGGAAUAUUGCACAAUGGGGGAAACCCUGAUGCAGCGACGCCGCGUGGAGGAAGAAGGUCUUCGGAUUGUAAACUCCUGUUGUUGAGGAAGAUAAUGACGGUACUCAACAAGGAAGUGACGGCUAACUACGUGCCAGCAGCCGCGGUAAAACGUAGGUCACAAGCGUUGUCCGGAAUUACUGGGUGUAAAGGGAGCGCAGGCGGGAGAACAAGUUGGAAGUGAAAUCCAUGGGCUCAACCCAUGAACUGCUUUCAAAACUGUUUUUCUUGAGUAGUGCAGAGGUAGGCGGAAUUCCCGGUGUAGCGGUGGAAUGCGUAGAUAUCGGGAGGAACACCAGUGGCGAAGGCGGCCUACUGGGCACCAACUGACGCUGAGGCUCGAAAGUGUGGGUAGCAAACAGGAUUAGAUACCCUGGUAGUCCACACCGUAAACGAUGAUUACUAGGUGUUGGAGGAUUGACCCCUUCAGUGCCGCAGUUAACACAAUAAGUAAUCCACCUGGGGAGUACGACCGCAAGGUUGAAACUCAAAGGAAUUGACGGGGGCCCGCACAAGCAGUGGAGUAUGUGGUUUAAUUCGACGCAACGCGAAGAACCUUACCAAGUCUUGACAUCCCUUGACGAUGCUGGAAACAGUAUUUCUCUUCGGAGCAAGGAGACAGGUGGUGCAUGGUUGUCGUCAGCUCGUGUCGUGAGAUGUUGGGUUAAGUCCCGCAACGAGCGCAACCCUU